rnacentral:rRNA from 1 species
CUGUCGUCAGCUCGUGUCGUGAGAUGUUGGGUUAAGUCCCGCAACGAGCGCAACCCUUGUCUUCUGUUGCCAUCGGGUUAUGCCGGGCACUCUGAAGAGACUGCCGGUGACAAACCGGAGGAAGGUGGGGAUGACGUCAAGUCAGCAUGGCCUUUAUGUCUGGGGCCACACACGUGCUACAAUGGCCGGUACAAACCGUCGCGAUCUCGCGAGAGGGAGCUAAUCGGAGAAAGCCGGUCUCAGUUCGGAUUGUAGGCUGCAGGAAAAAGAUGCAUGAAGUUGGAAUCGCUAGUAAUCGCGGAUCAGCACGCCGCGGUGAAUACGUUCCCGGGCCUUGUACCCACCGCCCGUCACAUCACGAAAGCCGGCUGUACUAGAAGUCGCUCGCUAACCCGCAAGGGGGGCAAGCGCCUAAGGUA